rnacentral:rRNA from 1 species
GACGAACGCUGGCGGCGUGCUUAACACAUGCAAGUCGAACGGAAAGGCCCUGCUUUUGUGGGGUGCUCGAGUGGCGAACGGGUGAGUAACACGUGAGUAACCUGCCCUUGACUUUGGGAUAACUUCAGGAAACUGGGGCUAAUACCGGCUAGGAGCUCCUGCUGCAUGGGGGGGGUUGGAAAGUUUCGGCGGUUGGGGAUGGACUCGCGGCUUAUCAGCUUGUUGGUGGGGUAGUGGCUUACCAAGGCUUUGACGGGUAGCCGGCCUGAGAGGGGGACCGGGCACAUUGGGCCUGAGGUACGGCCCAGACUCGUACGGGGGGCAGCAGGGGGGAAUAUUGCACAGUGGGCGGAAGCCUGAUGCAGCAACGCCGCGUGCGGGAUGACGGCCUUCGGGUUGUAAACCGCUUUCGCCUGUGACGAAGCGUGAGUGACGGUAAUGGGUAAAGAAGCACCGGCUAACUACGUG